AAAGCCAACACCAAUAACCCCAAAAAGUACAGCCCCAACACUACAAACCAGAAACUCCAGACCCAAAGGACCACUCCCCUAUUACUACCUCUGCGCUCCCACCCCCUAACCCUCUACCCUAAUUCGCGUCCUCCACACCUUUCUAUCAAGGGUUAUGUCUUCUGUGAGCUGUAAUUGCUUCAUAUCAUGCCUAAUCACCUCCCUCUAAUAUUUCUUCGAUCUACCUCUAGUUCACCUAAAACCAUCC
rnacentral:lncRNA from 1 species